UCUCCUCAUUCACGCGAGAUUCUUCUUUUCUCUCUCCUCUCACUCACACGAGCUUCAUCGCAGGUCUUCUUUAAUGCAUCAUCUCGAGCUUCUGUAACUUUCUUCUACUUGCCUAUAGUCUGUUCCUUUAAUUUCUCUCCUCAAUUUCAAGCUCCAUUUUCUCUCUCCUCUCUGAACAGUGCCACCAAAACUAGGGGAGGUUCUUCGGUUGGAGGUCGAAGAGGUCUCCAUUGUGAAGUUACUCGCAACGAAAAUUCAGAUAAUAUCGGAGAUACAAGUAAUGGCUAUGGGGAAACUAAAGUCCUUCCUAAUAAUGAUCAGAACACCGAAGGCAAUUUUGAUAAAACGAGGUGGAUCAAAUCUUGGCGUGUGCAGCCUAAGAAAGGAGUUCAGAAGACCAAAAAAAAGUAGUGGCUACGAAACCAGCAGUUGUUCAGUCACAAAUAAAUGAACCAGACAAUCCACUAUGAAGAAGAUGGAAAACGUGUUGAAGGUUCCGGUAGAGGCCAUAAUGUUUGUUGGUGAUGAUGCCAUGGUUGUUUCUACGACAAAGCGCAAGCGAUGUGGUGAUGGUGCCCUGGUUCAAGGUGAUGUUGCUACCCAAGUUGGUGAUAUUGUUAUGAUGAAGGUUGGUGCAGAGAUAGCAUAUCCCGUGCAGUGAUUUUGGAUGAUAAUAAAUUCUGGAGAGCAGUUGAAGAAUGUAUUGAUGUUUCUGAACCAUUUCUAAGAAAUCUGAUGGAAGUAGCUGAUGGUAAACCUGAAGUAGGGUUCAUCUAUGAGCUGAUGACAAAGGCCAAAGAGUUAAUACGAACAUAUUAUAUUAUGGACGAGAGCAAGUGCAAGACAUUCUUAGAUAUAGUGGACAGUGGGUGGCAUAACCAACUUCAUACAUCAUUACAUUCAGCUGGAGCAUUUUUAAAUCCCUGUAUCCAGUAUAACCCUGAAGUCAAGUUCCUGGUUGCUAUAAAAGAAGACGUCUUCAAUGUUUUGGAGAAAUUGCUUCCAACACCUGAAGUAAGGCACAAGAUCACUAACCAGGUUCUUCUAUUCCAGCGAGCAACUAAGGUGUUUGGGUGUAACAUGGAAAAAGAAGCACAGUUGCUCCUGGUAAGUUCACCCUUCUUGAAAUUUCACUUACAUCAUAUCACAUUUGCCAAAGGGUUGGAUACUCUGCAAUACCAAAAUCCCAUAUUUUUGCAUCAUUGUCGUCCAUUUUCUAUUUUGUUCAAGUAUAUACCUGGACGAGCUAAUCUGUCCAUUUUGUUAAUGAAAAUGAAUUUAUAACUGAAAGUCUAUUAAGCUCAA